rnacentral:rRNA from 1 species
AGUGAACGCUGGCGGUAGGCCUAACACAUGCAAGUCGAACGGCAGCACAGAGGAGCUUGCUCCUUGGGUGGCGAGUGGCGGACGGGUGAGGAAUACAUCGGAAUCUACUUUUUCGUGGGGGAUAACGUAGGGAAACUUACGCUAAUACCGCAUACGACCUACGGGUGAAAGCAGGGGAUAUUCGGACCUUGCGCGAUUGAAUGAGCCGAUGUCGGAUUGGCUAGUUGGCGGGGGAAAGGCCCACCAAGGCGACGAUCCGUAGCUGGUCUGAGAGGAUGAUCAGCCACACUGGAACUGAGACACGGUCCAGACUCCUACGGGAGGCAGCAGUGGGGAAUAUUGGACAAUGGGCGCAAGCCUGAUCCAGCCAUACCGCGUGGGUGAAGAAGGCCUUCGGGUUGUAAAGCCCUUUUGUUGGGAAAGAAAUCCAGCCGGCUAAUACCUGGUUGGGAUGACGGUACCCAAAGAAUAAGCACCGGCUAACUUCGUGCCAGCAGCCGCGGUAA